GACACAUAACGAGAACUCGAACAGUAUUACACAUUCAUCGACAAGAAAAUGCAUCCAGGAUAGUUAAAAAUUAAUAACCUUGAGAGACUUUAUCGCUUUGCUGUUUUUUGUUGUUCUUUUAUUCAUGUAAGUGUUCCCACAAUAUAAUACAAUCGUUUUUUAUUUAAAUAUCCAAUUGAAAAAAUCUCAAUUGCAUUCAUACGUCAGACCAUCGCAACACCUUUGAUCUCAAUCAAGAAAAAAGAAAAUAAAAAGACAAGUGAAGUAAAUAUAGUAAAACUUCAAAAAUUGGAUCAUCGAAUAAGAGAGAAACAUAAACAAUUAGGAUGGUGAAAAAAGAGAAACGCUAUGUGCAAAACAUCUACUACAAAAAUAACGAAAUCGAUAGGUGGUGAAAGAAAAAUUGGUCAUCAAGUGCGUGGUGAAACGAA
rnacentral:lncRNA from 1 species